rnacentral:lncRNA from 1 species
ACAUCAAUUUACAUGUCUUCUACCUCUGAAUGUGAAUUCACGCUAUCGUAUUACGUGCUUUCCUGCUCGAGAAUGCGUCGAGCAUUUGGUUGUAGAAGGUAGUAUGGAGAUUCGCCAAUAGUUAAGCAGUCUAUCAGUUUUUGACUGCUAGAAUAUAAACGAUUGCAAGAAUAUACCGUAAAUCUAUACGGAUGCCCUUCGACUGCUUGUCGAAGUCCUUUUUGUCCCAGCCGGUCGGUCUUUAGACAUUACAGAGAACCCCGAACAAUCCAAUCUGCUAAUCUCCGAUACCGCUUUGUACUUACAAUCUUGUAUCCACUGACUGUCUUGUUAGAUUAACCCAAUAAAUUUCAUUCACUCCGCAUACUCAAUCCUAUAGACACCUUUUUAAUUCUUCAAUCACAGACGUAACUCGAUUUCAUAAAACAGUCAAGAGUAAUCAAACCCACUUCAUUAAAAAAUCCCCAUUCACCAUUCCAACACUGACUUCAGCAACGAUUGCCUCUGUCUUCCCAAAAUCCUAUGAAGAAAAAAAAUCCAAUUCUUUGUCUUCUUUCCCCACCCGAAGCAUGAAGCUAGCCCUCUCCUCGAUCUUCAAAAAAAAAACCUCUAAUGAAACCGA